rnacentral:lncRNA from 1 species
CCAAGGUCCAAACAACGCCACUGAUGUCCAAGCAUCGCCGUCGAGGUCCAAGCAACGCUUUCAAGGUCGAAGCAACGCCGCCAAGGUCGAUGCAACGUUUCCAAGGAUGAAACAACGCUGCCAAGGCCUAAGUAAUGUUGUCGAGGUCUAAGCAACAUUGAUAAGAUCGAAGCUAUGCCGCCAAGGUCAAAGCAGCGUUGCCAAGGCUUAAACUACGGGUACAAACUAGCUCGAAUGAGCCCAAAGCAUUCAAAGUAUUCAAAGCGUACAAAGCAUUCAAAGUGUACAAAGUAUUCAAAGCACUCAAAGUAUCCUAGGACUCAAGUAGCCCUACCCUAGUCAAAUCUAUAAUGCUUCGACCCAAAAAAAUGGACAAAGCCCUAAGCAGUUCUUGAUAUGUGCUUUUACAAAACUAAAGAUAAAAAUCUCCAAAUAUACUACAAACGACACAGUUAGGUCCUAUGAAGGCCUAUUGAGCCCUGCCGUUGCCGUUUUUCGACCAUCUCCGUCGCCGGCGAGACCGUCGCUCUUCCUCCGAUGUCGGCCACCCCUCUCCCUAUGAAAUUUCGCCGCCGCUAUUGAAACACUAGCGCCACCAUCACCUACCUAUCACGCCCUGAGGUUGCGAUAAUGUUCAUUGUAGCGAGCAACCGCAAGAUCGGUGCAGACCUUCAUCUUUACCGAGCAAUUCCACUGUAGAUUUUCUCCGCCGCCACCGGCACGACCCCCCUAUCACCCUGCUCCGCGGUAACCGUCCGGCCGGCAGCAAGAUGCCACCCUUAUUUCUCACCCUAAAAAUAAAUUGUCGCCGCUUCCUAUUACGAUGAAAUCUGCACCUCCUUCUUGGCCAUCAAUCCUGUCUCUCCUUCGUGCUUACCAUCUCUGCCCGCAACACCAAACACUGUUACGACACCAAACACAAUCGCCAUGCCUGCGCGGCUCCAGAUUGCUGGAAUAUAUCAUCGACACCGCCGCAAGGGAAUCAGACACAACAGUUAACCCCAUAAUACCGCUAAUAUCUCGAUCGAUCGUGCUUAAAGACUGACUCAAAUUCAUCAAUGAACGAAGCCUUAGAUGGCGAUGACGCAUGAAGUUGCUUCCGCUGAUUCCCAAAAAACCGAAGCAAAUUUUGGAAAAUCUUUUAUCCAGACACAAGAAUUCGACCUCUUAUCACCUUCAAAAUCUGGCCGUACCAGCCUUAUCCACUAAUAACCAAUACUUUUGAUCGCGUCGCCCUAGAUCCUGAGUCAUCAGGCUGCUCUGCUCUAUUAGCUCUGCCGCUCUCGAUUUGGCUAGCAACCGUGGCUGUUGUCAAACACACAACUUCGGUAUCACCGCUCUCACGAUGUCGAACACAACCAAAGCCUCAAUAAGUGCAGUCACCACUGUCUUUCUCAACCUCCAUUCACAGUUCAGCUCCAACAAUCCAGAGUCCUUGAUCCCCAAAAUUCUCAAAUUUAUUCAUAAAAGCCAAACCCAAAAUCACCCCAAAGCAAAUCCUCCAUUGGGGGUGACUCCCAGUGUAGCCGCUGAGAACCACAGCUAAUCCGAUCACCAUCAUCUCUGUUAGGAAAGCCAACAAAGACUGGAGAACAUAACACUUCCAAGGGUGAUACCCCUGCACCUUGAGAAGCCUAAAGCUCUCUUCUAUUACGAAAUCGCAGCUCUGCGCAAAAUUGGCCACCGCCUAUUCAGAAUCGCCAAAGUUCGACGAUGGCAACUUUGAGGGUUGCCCAGCCUAUAUCACCGCCGCUAGGCCGUAGACCCCCAUCCCCUAGCUCAAACUCAUCAACAACGGGAAAACCCAUUGUGAAUUUGUUGCUUCACCGAGCCAAAGUUCUCAUAGCUCUGAAAAACCUUGCCUCUUUGACUCCCCAAUUCCAGUGACUCAGUCUUUACGUUGAAUUCCUGUCCUACUGCUGGUCUACUAAAUGAAAAGGAAAAAGAAAAAGAAAAGGUCUCCAUUCGUCCUCACCAUGACCGCCGCUCGUAUCCUUCCACUAAACAUAGCAAAGGUCAUUGCCGUUGCUGAACUCGCUCAUUUCAUUUUUCAAAAUUUCAACUCGUGGACAAUUGCUACUCACCGAUCCUCGAAUCUCAAAAUCUUAUUCCUGACCGCAUCCAACCCCGAAGCUACUAUUUCAACAUAAGACCGUUAUCUCUGUGAAUGGAUUCUCCUUGGGCAGAGGGAUAAUUAAUGAU